GUGGGGAAUUUUGGACAAUGGGGGCAACCCUGAUCCAGCCAUGCCGCGUGCGGGAAGAAGGCCUUCGGGUUGUAAACCGCUUUUGUCAGGGAAGAAAUCCUUUGGGUUAAUACCUCGGAGGGAUGACGGUACCUGAAGAAUAAGCACCGGCUAACUACGUGCCAGCAGCCGCGGUAAUACGUAGGGUGCGAGCGUUAAUCGGAAUUACUGGGCGUAAAGCGUGCGCAGGCGGUUUUGUAAGAUCGAUGUGAAAUCCCCGGGCUCAACCUGGGAACUGCAUUGGUGACUGCAAGGCUGGAGUGCGGCAGAGGGGGAUGGAAUUCCGCAUGUAGCAGUGAAAUGCGUAGAUAUGCGGAGGAACACCGAUGGCGAAGGCAAUCCCCUGGGCCUGCACUGACGCUCAUGCACGAAAGCGUGGGGAGCAAACAGGAUUAGAUACCCCUGUAGUCC
rnacentral:rRNA from 1 species